UACGAAGGGGGCUAGCGUUGCUCGGAAUACUGGGCGUAAAGGGAGCGUAGGCGGGUUAUCAAGUUGGAGGUGAAAGCCCAGGGCUCAACCUUGGAAUUGCCUUCAAAACUGAUAGCCUAGAGUAUGGAAGAGGUAAGUGGAACUCCGAGUGUAGAGGUGAAAUUCGUAGAUAUUCGGAAGAACACCAGUGGCGAAGGCGACUUACUGGUCCAUGACUGACGCUGAGGCUCGAAAGCGUGGGGAGCAAACAGG
rnacentral:rRNA from 1 species